rnacentral:rRNA from 1 species
AUUACCCACUCCCAGCACGGGGAGGUAGUGACAAAAAAUAACGAUACGGGACUCUAUUGAGGCCCCGUAAUCGGAAUGAGUACACUUUAAAUUCUUUAACAAGGAUCCAUUGGAGGGCAAGUCUGGUGCCAGCAGCCGCGGUAAUUCCAGCUCCAAUAGCGUAUAUUAAAGUUGUUGCGGUUAAAAAGCUCGUAGUUGGUUCUGCGUGCCGCGCUGUCGGUUUGCCGCCUGUCGGUGUAACUGGCAUGUCGCGGCAUGUCCUGUCGGUGGUGAACGAGAUGCCCGGUGCUGGCUAAGGUUUUUACAGCCGAAGUUAUGUGCCGUGUGUUUUCUCGUUUGCCGAAUUAUCCUACUCCGGUGCUCUUAAACGAGUGUCGAGGUAGGCCGACACAUUCACUUUGAACAAAUUAGAGUGCUUCAAGCAGGCUGAAAAUACUGCCUGAAUAGUGGUGCAUGGAAUGAUAAAAUAGGACCUCGGUUCUAUUUUGUUGGUUUUAGGAAUAUGAGGUAAUGAUCAAUGUGGACUGGCGGGGGCAUUCGUAUUGCGACGUUAGAGGUGAAAUUCUUGGAUCGUCGCAAGACGCACUAGAGCGAAAGCAUUUGCCAAGUAUGUCUUAAUUGAUCAAGAACGAAAGUUAGAGGUUCGAAGGCGAUCAGAUACCGCCCUAGUUCUAACCAUAAACGAUGCCAGCCAGCGAUCCGCCGAUGUUCCUUUAAUGACUCGGCGGGGAGCUUCUACUCGGGAAACCAAAGCUUUUGGGUUCCGGGGGAAGUAUGGUUGCAAAGCUGAAACUUAAAGGAAUUGACGGAAGGGCACCACCAGGAGUGGAGCCUGCGGCUUAAUUUGACUCAACACGGGAAACCUCACCAGGCCAGGACAU